AUAAAAUGUAUUAUAUUAUUGUUGGAGAAUGUAAUAGUAUUUUAACAAAACCAGAAUCUAUUUCGGCAAAGAAAUUGUAUAAAUUGGUCGAUG